AUGAAGAAAGGUGCCCUCGCUCUCUUCCUCCUCCUCCUCGCCUUCGGAUCCCAUGGCACAUGGUGUGAGGCAGCUCCGAGAAGGGCCAUGGCCGGUGCAGCUCUCCAGCCCCAUGAAGUCCAAGGCAAGAGGCUCCUGGAGAUGGCGAGACCCAGGAAGCUUGGGCACACGGGAGGCCGCAGCUCCGGCGGUGGAGCGAGCGGUGCCGGGAGGCACACCGGUACCGGUGGCGGCGCGGUGAACACGAGGCCGCACAACACCAAGAACGGCGGCGCUGUGGCGCUGCCGGCUCUGGUGACCUCCGCUCUGGCACUGGUUUUCACCACUGUCAUUCUUCUCUCGGCGCUCAGCUUCUAA
rnacentral:rRNA from 1 species